CGCGGCGCCAUUUUGCAGGCGGCUGUCGCGGGGACCGGAGGCGGCGGCGGCGGCAGCAGCGGGCAGUGCAGCUCCCAGGCGCGGCAGCAGGACGGGAGCCCGAGCGAGCUGCAGCCAGCUGGUCUUGACUCCACUAAGCACGACCCUGCGUGGAGCGCUGAGCUUGAACCUCGGCAGCACAAGGGAAUGCGUCAUCAGCACCUUGUGAGGGGAAGCAUAUGGACAGGUCCACGCCGCAGCCUGUAGGUUGUGAGACAUGGCGCUCACGGGUCUCCUCUCCGCCUGAGGUUCGGUGCUCCAGGCCCCGAGAGAGCUGACGCAGAUCCCAGGCUCCGGCUUGAGCAGGC